GCAGGAAUCAGCGCGCAGCCUGAUCCAGCCAUGCCGCGUGAGUGAAGAAGGCCUUCGGGUUGUAAAGCUCUUUCGGCCGGAACGAAAUCGUCCGAGCUAAUACCUCGGAUGGAUGACGGUACCGGAAGAAGAAGCACCGGCUAACUACGUGCCAGCAGCCGCGGUAAUU
rnacentral:rRNA from 1 species